GCCGGGCAUGGUAGCCUGCACCUGUAGUUCCAGCUACUUGAAAGGCUGAGGCGGGGGGGGGGGUUGCUUAAGCCCAGGAAUUCUGUGGGUGUCUGCACUAAGUUUGGCAUCAACUUGGUGACCUCCUGGGAACGGGGGACCACCAAGUUGCCUAGGAAGGGAUGAAGCAGCCCAGGCUGGAAAUGAAGCAGGUUAAAACUCCUGUGCUGAUCAGUAAUGGGAUUAUGCCUGUGACCAGCCACGCACUCCAGCCUGGGCAACAUAGCGAGAUCCUGUCUCUA
rfam:Nomascus leucogenys chromosome 11, whole genome shotgun sequence.